GGCGAGUGAAGCGGCAACAGCUCAAAUUUGAAAUCUGGCCUGAAGCCCGAGUUGUAAUUUGUAGAGGGUGCUUUGGCGUUGGCGUCGGCAUAAGUUCCUUGGAACAGGACGUCGCAGAGGGUGAGAGCCCCGUACGUGUCCGGCUGCAUUCGCCGUGUAAAGCCCCUUCGACGAGUCGAGUUGUUUGGGAAUGCAGCUCUAAAUGGGAGGUAAAUUUCUUCUAAAGCUAAAUAUUGGCCAGAGACCGAUAGCGCACAAGUAGAGUGAUCGAAAGAUGAAAAGCACUUUGGAAAGAGAGUCAAAAAGCACGUGAAAUUGUUGAAAGGGAAGCGCUUGCAGCCAGACUUGCCCGCAGUUGCUCACCCGGGCGCCAGCCCGGUGCACUCUUCUGCGGGCAGGCCAGCAUCAGUUUGGGCGGCCGGACAAAGGCCUCGGGAACGUGGCUCCCCCCGGGGAGUGUUAUAGCCCGAGGCGGCAUGCGGCCAGCCCGGACUGAGGUCCGCGCGUCUGCUAGGAUGCUGGCGUAAUGGCUGUAAGCGGCCCGUCUUGAAACACGGACCAAGGAGUCUAACAUCUAUGCGAGUGUUUGGGUGUCAAGCCCGGGCGCGCAAUGAAAGUGAACGGAGGUGGGAACCCCCCCGGGGUGCACCAUCGACCGAUCCUGAUGUCUUCGGAUGGAUUUGAGUAAGAGCAUAGCUGUUGGGACCCGAAAGAUGGUGAACUAUGCCUGAAUAGGGUGAAGCCAGAGGAAACUCUGGUGGAGGCUCGCAGCGGUUCUGACGUGCAAAUCGAUCGUCAAAUUUGGGCAUAGGGGCGAAAGACUAAUCGAACUAUCUAGUAGCU
rnacentral:rRNA from 1 species